rnacentral:rRNA from 1 species
GGGUUGUGAGGUUAAGCGACUAAGCGUACACGGUGGAUGCCUAGGCAGUCAGAGGCGAUGAAGGACGUGCUAAUCUGCGAAAAGCGUCGGUGAGCUGAUAUGAAGCGACAGAGCCGGCGAUGUCCGAAUGGGGAAACCCAGUGCAAU